rnacentral:tRNA from 1 species
GGAUCCACUGUCUAUGCAGGGUGAGAAGUCUUCUGUGGCGGGACCGGCUCCCGUUUGCAAGCAGGAAGUCAGGAGUUCGAAUCUCCUAGGCUCCACCA